UAAGGAAUAUUGCGCAAUGGGGGAAACCCUGACGCAGCAACGCCGCGUGGAGGAUGACACUUUUCGGAGCGUAAACUCCUUUUAUCAGGAAAGAAUAAUGACGGUACCUGAUGAAUAAGCACCGGCUAACUCCGUGCCAGCAGCCGCGGUAAUACGGGGGGUGCAAGCGUUACUCGGAAUCACUGGGCGUAAAGCACGCGUAGGCGGAUUAUCAAGUCUUUUGUGAAAUCUAGUGGCUUAACCACUAAACUGCUUAGGAAACUGAUAGUCUAGAGUAGGGGAGAGGUAGAUGGAAUUCUUGGUGUAGGGGUAAAAUCCGUAGAGAUCAAGAAGAAUACCCAUUGCGAAAGCGAUCUGCUGGAACCUAACUGACGCUGAGGCGUGAAAGCGUGGGUAGCAAACAGG
rnacentral:rRNA from 1 species